rnacentral:rRNA from 1 species
GACGAACGCUGGCGGCGUGCUUAACACAUGCAAGUCGAACGGAAAGGCCCUGCUUGCAGGGUACUCGAGUGGCGAACGGGUGAGUAACACGUGUGUGAUCUGCCCUACACUUCGGGAUAAGCCUGGUAAACUGGGUCUAAUACCGGAUAGGAGCCAUUUUUAGUGUGAUGGUUGGAAAGUUUUUUCGGUGUAGGAUGAGCUCACGUCCGAUUAGCUUGUUGGUGGGGUAAAGGCUUACCAAGGCGGCGACGGGUAGCCGGUCUGAGAGGGCGAUCGGCCACACUGGGACUGAGACACGGCCCAGACUCCUACGGGAGGCAGCAGUGGGGAAUUUUGGACAAUGGGCGAAAGCCUGAUCCAGCAAUGCCGCGUGUGUGAAGAAGGCCUUCGGGUUGUAAAGCACUUUUGUCCGGAAAGAAAUGGCUCUGGUUAAUACCUGGGGUCGAUGACGGUACCGGAAGAAUAAGGACCGGCUAACUACGUG